rnacentral:rRNA from 1 species
AUACGUAGGGGGCGAGCGUUGUCCGAAUUUACUGGGCGUAAAGCGCGCGUAGACGGACUCUUAAGUUGGGGGUGAAAUCCCGGGGCUCAACCCCGGAACUGCCUUCAAAACUGGGAGUCUUGAGGUAUGGAGAGGGAAGUGGAAUUCCUGGUGUAGCGGUGAAAUGCGUAGAUAUCAGGAGGAACACCCGUGGCGAAGGCGGCUUCCUGGCCAUAUCCUGACGCUGAGGUGCGAAAGCUAGGGGAGCGAACGGGAUUAGAUACCCCGGUAGUCCUAGCCGUAAACGAUGGAUACUAGGUGUUAGAGGUAUCGACCCCUCUAGUGCCGAAGCUAACGCAUUAAGUAUCCCGCCUGGGGAGUACGGCCGCAAGGCUGAA